UCUGGUCUGAAGCUGGGUUCUGGAGGGCGCCCUGCGUCGCCUGACUCUCCACCACCAGGCGGGGCCGUUUACACUGAUGCCAAGUUGCCAGAGCAGCCGGCGUUACAAUGGAACUAAAGGAUCUCACACCCGCCGGGCACAGCCGUCUGCCUCUUGGAGGCGAAAACUAUCCACCCCUAGUUCUUUCGCUCAAGCUCGACCAUCUUUUGCUCUCUGCUCUGGAAGCCCACGGUUCAAUCCCCAGUUUGUCCGCCAAGAUGGCUGCUGUCAGAAUUGCUCCGGGGGCUGGAUUCUCGUUGACACAGAUUGACAACCGAUGUGGGCAGAAGGCAUCUCCCUCACCCUUGGAUGGGGCAGAGGGCCACAGACCAGUGGAGGAAGGUGCAGGGAGAACAUAACACCCAGGUCCGAUCCAUAGCACUCUCCAUAAAACUGGAAUACAGGCUGUGCAGUCAGAUGCAGUGGCUCUCAAACAUUCCAAGACGAUUGUACCCCUGGCAGGAGGCUGCUUUGUCCUGCGUACCCCCCAAGUUACACCUCACUUAGAAACGACUUGCUGACAGAAUCAGACAUCAAAAUACGAAAGCGGCACAGCGCGCUGUGACUGACAAAGUUGCCGACUUUCACUUUU